GACGAACGCUGGCGGCGUGCCUAAUACAUGCAAGUCGAGCGAACAGACGAGGAGCUUGCUCCUCUGACGUUAGCGGCGGACGGGUGAGUAACACGUGGAUAACCUACCUAUAAGACUGGGAUAACUUCGGGAAACGGGAGCUAAUACCGGAUAAUAUCUUGAACCGCAGGGUUGAAUAGUGAAAGACGGCUUUGCUGUCACGAAUAGAUGGAUCCGCGCCGCUUUGGCUAGUUGGUAAGUUAAAGGCUUACCAAGGGGAGGAUGCGUGGCCGACUGGAGGGGGUGGUAGGCCGCAUGGGAGCUUGGCCACGGUCCAGGCUCCUGCGGGAGGCACCAGUAGGGAACCUUCCGCAAUGGGCGAAAGCCUGGCGGAGCAGGCCCGCGUGUGUGAUAAAGGUCUUCGGUUCGUAAAGCUCUGUUAUUAGUGAUAAACAAAUUUGUAAGUAACUGUGCACGUCUUGACGGUACCUAAUCAGAAAGCCCCGGCUAACUACGUG
rnacentral:rRNA from 1 species